rnacentral:rRNA from 1 species
GGGCCCGCACAAGCGGCGGAGCAUGUGGAUUAAUUCGAUGCAACGCGAAGAACCUUACCUGGGUUUGACAUGCACAGGACGCCGGCAGAGAUGUCGGUUCCCUUGUGGCCUGUGUGCAGGUGGUGCAUGGCUGUCGUCAGCUCGUGUCGUGAGAUGUUGGGUUAAGUCCCGCAACGAGCGCAACCCUUGUCUCAUGUUGCCAGCACGUGAUGGUGGGGACUCGUGAGAGACUGCCGGGGUCAACUCGGAGGAAGGUGGGGAUGACGUCAAGUCAUCAUGCCCCUUAUGUCCAGGGCUUCACACAUGCUACAAUGGCCGGUACAAAGGGCUGCGAUGCCGUGAGGUGGAGCGAAUCCUUUCAAAGCCGGUCUCAGUUCGGAUCGGGGUCUGCAACUCGACCCCGUGAAGUCGGAGUCGCUAGUAAUCGCAGAUCAGCAACGCUGCGGUGAAUACGUUCCCGGGCCUU